rfam:Leptosomus discolor contig5607, whole genome shotgun sequence.
UAAAAGGUUCUACUCAGAGCCACACGUUAACAAAGAUACACUCUAU